rnacentral:rRNA from 1 species
UACGGAGGGUGCGAGCGUUGUCCGGAUUUAUUGGGUUUAAAGGGUGCGUAGGCGGCUUUUUAAGUCUGGGGUGAAAGCCCGCUGCUCAACAGCGGAACUGCCCUGGAUACUGGAGAGCUUGAGUACAGACGAGGUUGGCGGAAUGGACUGAGUAGCGGUGAAAUGCAUAGAUACAGUCCAGAACCCCGAUUGCGAAGGUAGCUGACUAGGCUGUUACUGACGCUGAGGCACGAAAGCGUGGGGAGCGAACAGG